rnacentral:rRNA from 1 species
CAGCCGCCACGGGAAUACCGAGGUCUCAAGCGUUGUUCGGAAUCACUGGGCGUAAAGGGUGCGUAGGUGGCGUGGAAAGUCAGAUGUGAAAGCCCGGGGCUCAACCUCGGAACAGCAUCCGAUACUACCAUGCUAGAGUACUGAAGAGGUGACUAGAAUUCUCGGUGUAGCAGUGAAAUGCGUAGAUAUCGAGAGGAAUACCAACGGCGAAGGCAGGUCACUGGGCAGUUACUGACACUGAGGCACGAAGGCCAGGGGAGCAAACGGGAUUAGAUACCCGGGUAGUCCCUGUCUCUUAUAC